GCCAGUAUGGUGUAGUGGUUUGAGCGUUGGACUAUGAGUCUGGAGACCAGGGUUCGAUUCCCAGCUCGGCCA
rnacentral:tRNA from 1 species